rnacentral:siRNA from 1 species
UCCAAUGGUCAGCCCAUGGU